rnacentral:rRNA from 1 species
AUUGAACGCUGGCGGCAGGCCUAACACAUGCAAGUCGAGCGAGCGGCGGACGGGUGAGUAAUGUCUGGGAAACUGCCUGAUGGAGGGGGAUCACUACUGGAAACGGUAGCUAAUACCGCAUACCAUCAGAUGUGCCCAGAUGGGAUUAGCUGGUAGGUGGGGUAACGGCUCACAUAGGCGACGAUCCCUCGCUGGUGUGAGAGGAUGACCAGCCACACUGUAACGUAUACACGGUCCAGACUCCUACGGGCGGCACCAGUGGGGAAUAGUGAACAAUGAGCGCAAGCCUGAUGCAGCCAUGCCGCGUGUAUGAAGAAGGCCUUCGGGUUGUAAAGUACUUUCAGCGGUGAGGCGUUACCCGCAGAAGAAGCACCGGCUAACUCCGUGCCAGCAGCCGCGGUAAUAC